rnacentral:rRNA from 1 species
CCUACGGGAGGCAGCAGUGAGGAAUAUUGGUCAAUGGGCGCGAGCCUGAACCAGCCAAGUCGCGUGAGGGAAGACGGUCCUAUGGAUUGUAAACCUCUUUUGUCGGGGAGCAAAAGACGCCACGCGUGGCGUUUCGAGAGUACCCGAAGAAAAAGCAUCGGCUAACUCCGUGCCAGCAGCCGCGGUAAUACGGAGGAUGCGAGCGUUAUCCGGAUUUAUUGGGUUUAAAGGGUGCGAAGGCGGAAGAUCAAGUCAGUUGUGAAAGUUUGCGGCUCAACCGUAAAAUUGCAAUUGAUACUGGCAGUCUUGAGUACAGUUGAGGUAGGCGGAAUUCGUGGUGUAGCGGUGAAAUGCUUAGAUAUCACGAAGAACCCCGAUUGCGAAGGCAGCUUACUAAACUGUGACUGACAUUGAUGCUCGAAAGUGUGGGUAUCAAACAGGAUUAGAUACCCUUGUAGUC